CUCCAGACUCCUACGGGAGGCAGCAGUAGGGAAUUUUGCGCAAUGGGGGAAACCCUGACGCAGCAACGCCGCGUGAUUGAUGAAGCCCUUCGGGGUGUAAAGAUCUGUCAGUGGGGACGAAACUUGACGGUACCCACAGAGGAAGCAUCGGCUAACUCCGUGCCAGCAGCCGCGGUAAUACGGGGGAUGCAAGCGUUGUCCGGAAUCAUUGGGCGUAAAGAGUUCGUAGGUGGCACGUUAAGUCUGGUGUUAAAUGCAGGGGCUCAACCUCUGUUCGGCACUGGAUACUGGCGAGCUUGAAUGCGGUAGAGGUAAAGGGAAUUCCUGGUGUAGCGGUGAAAUGCGUAGAUAUCUGGAGGAACAUCAGUGGCGAAGGCGACUAUCUGGCACAUAACUGACGCUGAGGAGCGAAAGCGUGGGUAGCAAACAGGAUUAGAUACCCGUGUA
rnacentral:rRNA from 1 species